UGGAGGGGUGGCUCUGUAUUUUAACCUUCAAUAGGUUAGGGUUCUGUUGCUCACACAAGAGAUACUUCAUCCUCAAAGAAAGUUUUCUUAGAAGCUUCAAAGCCAAGCCUAUGUCCCAGAUGAAGGAGCCAAAUAGAAGUACAAUAAUUGACUCUAACGCUCGGGUUAUUGAUAAUGGAAGAGAAACUAUCAACAAAAAGGUAUUCUUC
rnacentral:sRNA from 1 species